rnacentral:rRNA from 1 species
CAGAGGGUGCGAGCGUUGUUCGGAAUUAUGGGCGUAAAGGGCGCGUAGGCGGCGCCACAAGUCACUUGUGAAAACUCUGGGCUCAACUCAGAGCCUGCAAGCGAAACUGUGGUGCUGGAGUAUGGGAGAGGUGCGUGGAAUUCCCGGUGUGGCGGUGAAAUGCGUAGAUAUCGGGAGGAACACCUGUGGCGAAAGCGGCGCACUGGACCAUAACUGACGCUGAGGCGCGAAAGCUAGGGGAGCAAACAGGAUUAGAUACCCUGGUAGUCCUAGCCCUAAACUAUGGAUGCUUGGUGUGAUCGGUACCCAAUCCGAUCGUGCCGAAGCUAACGCGAUAAGCAUCCCGCCUGGGGAGUACGGUCGCAAGACUG